rnacentral:misc_RNA from 1 species
UGGUUCUGGCAUCGAUGAAGAACGCAGCGAAAUGCGAUAAGUAAUGUGAAUUGCAGAAUUCAGUGAAUCAUCGAAUCUUUGAACGCACAUUGCGCCCAUUAGUAUUCUAGUGGGCAUGCCUGUUCGAGCGUCAUUUCAACCCUUAAGCCUAGCUUAGUGUUGGGAAUCCGCUGUUAUAGCGGUUCCUGAAAAACAACGGCGGUUCUACAGUGUUCCUCUGAGCGUAGUAAUUUUCUAAAAAUCUCGCUUUGGUUAGGUGCUGUGGUGCUUGCCGCUAAACCCCCAAUUUUUAAUGGUUGACCUCGGAUCAGGUAGGAAUACCCGCUGA